rnacentral:rRNA from 1 species
UACAGAGGUCCCAUGCGUUGUUCGGAUUCACUGGGCGUAAAGGGUGCGUAGGUGGCCAGGUAAGUUCGGUGUGAAAGCUCGGAGCUUAACUCCGAAAUGUCAUUGAAUACUAUCUGGCUAGAGGGUCGGAGGGGAGACUGGAAUUCUCGGUGUAGCAGUGAAAUGCGUAGAUAUCGAGAGGAACACCAGUGGCGAAGGCGAGUCUCUGGACGACACCUGACACUGAGGCACGAAAGCUAGGGGAGCAAACAGG